GAUGAGCGCUGGCGGCGUGCCUAAUACAUGCAAGUCGAGCGAACGGACGAGAAGCUUGCUUCUCUGAUGUUAGCGGCGGACGGGUGAGUAACACGUGGAUAACCUACCUAUAAGACUGGGAUAACUUCGGGAAACCGGAGCUAAUACCGGAUAAUAUUUUGAACCGCAUGGUUCAAAAGUUAAAGACGGUCUUGCUGUCACUUAUAGAUGGAUCCGCGCUGCAUUAGCUAGUUGGUAAGGUAACGGCUUACCAAGGCAACGAUGCAUAGCCGACCUGAGAGGACGAUCAGCCACACUGGAACUGAGACACGGUCCAGACUCCUACGGGAGGCAGCAGUAGGGAAUUUUGGACAAUGGGCGAAAGCCUGACGCAGCAACGCCGCGUGAAGGAUGAAGGUCUUCGGAUCGUAAAAUUCUGUUGUUAGGGAAGAAAAGACGUUGGAUAAAACCUGGGCAUCAUGACGGUACCGAAAGAAAAAGCACCGGCUAACUACGUG
rnacentral:rRNA from 1 species